rnacentral:rRNA from 1 species
UACGAAGGGGGCUAGCGUUGUUCGGAAUUACUGGGCGUAAAGCGUGCGCAGGCGGUUUUCCAAGUCAGUGGUGAAAGCCCGGAGCUCAACUCCGGAACUGCCAUUGAAACUGUUUAGCUUGAGGAUGAGAGAGGUGAGUGGAAUUCCCAGUGUAGAGGUGAAAUUCGUAGAUAUUGGGAAGAACACCGGUGGCGAAGGCGGCUCACUGGCUCAUUACUGACGCUCAGGCGCGAUAGCGUGGGGAUCAAACAGG